rnacentral:ncRNA from 1 species
AAAAUAGCUAUGAUAAGAACAGUAGGCUUUGGAGGUAGCAUAAAGCGAGCUAGUGAUGGUGUAAGACUAGUUGUGGAACCUUAGCUGAAAAACAUCUUGGAGCUUCUAAUCGAAAUUAUGAUUAAAGUAGACUUAGACGUAUCUGCAACGUUAUAAGCAGAGGGUAUCGAUUUUAUCUGUACCUUUAGGAGUGUGCAAUAUGCAAACUAGGGUGGUACCACGGAAACACAGCCUUUCGUCCCUUUU